rnacentral:lncRNA from 1 species
GAAGCAAGCAAGGAUGCUCUUGGAAACGCGGUGGCCCAAGCCUAAGCGGCCAUGCUCGGGGCUAGGAGCGGACCCCACGGCCACUCACCCCGGGGCGCUGCGACCGAAGCUGCCGCGGCCACUGCCACCCGGGGGCUCGCCGGCCGGCUCCGCGCAUCCCGCCCUCUCAAUGGACUUUCUUACCUCUUAAUGUAGUUCCUGCCAUACAGGAUCUGUUGCAGCAAGGUCACCAAGGCAAAGGCGCAGAUGAAGAUGAAGAGCAAAGUUCGGCUCCCCAACAAAUCCCGGUUGGCCGAGGGGUCCGCGUAGCGCAUCCUGGCUACCGGGCGCCGCGGGCGCGGGGUACGGGGCGGCCAGGCAAUGACUCGCGGGGUUCCGGGGCCCCGGGGGGCGCGCGGCCGACUUGGCGCCUCACGGUGCGGUCAGGCAGGCGGGGGACUUCGAGGGGCAAAGUUUCUGGUUGGCGCGGCCGGAGCUGGGGGCAUCCAAGCGUCGCAGGCGCUGGGGCGGCAAGCAGGACAGGGCCGGUGGCAGGGAGCUCUGCCGCGGCCAGGGGCCUUCCCCACCCCCGGGUACCUUUACCUCCAGGCGCCGGUGCCGGGUAGCCGCCGAUUUCCCCGCGGAGGGGAGACGCCAGGUGCCACGAGCCGGAGGCGGCCCCUCCCGCCGAGGUGGCGGCCAAUGGGGAGCAAGACCCGGGCUCCGUCCCCUGUGCGCCCCAGCGCGCCGCGCAUCGACCCCUCCAGUCCGGCGCCGGAUCGCGGUUGCCCAGCGCGCUGUGCCCUGCCGGGGGCGGGCCACGUUUGAUCUCCGGGCCCGCAGCAAGGGAUCGCGAAGGUAUUGAUCUAGGCGCUGCUGUGAAGGGAAUUUGCAGAUGUAAUUGGCCUAAAUCAGUUGGCUUUAAUAUCAGGAAAUUGUCCUCAGUGGGCAUGGCCAUAUGGAGCCCUUACAAGGGACUGGGCUCUUCCUGGUGAAAAAGAUUUGAAUCACGAGAGUGGCUGAUAUGAGGGAAAUUCUUUGCUGUUGCCUUCGAAGACAGAAGAGGUCCACAAGGCAAAGGAUGCAGACAGCCUGUAGGAGCUGAGACUGGC